GCUAAGCACUUACAACUGUUUGCAGAGGAAACUGAGACUUUGUAACUACAUCUCAGUCUCAUCUGCAAAGAAGUAAGUGCUUUGC
ensembl:miRNA MIR452 microRNA 452